AUCGCCCCCCACCUCCCCACGCCCGACCUCUGCUUCUCUGCUUCUCACCUCUAUCGCGCCGCCGCCAGCUCGCGCUCACCAGAUCCACUGCUCCGCCGGCGACUCAUUGCCACUCCGCCAGCCGACGAAGCAUCUCCCCGACGCGACCUCGCCGGCCGCCGACGCAUCCUUGCAGUUCCACCUCACCAGCCAUCUGCAGCCGGCUCGGACCUCCAGCUCGUUCCCACUCGCAUCGGUUGAACGCAGAUUCCGUCCCAAUGUUUCUCCGUCGAUCCUCCACGCUGAGCAGCACGUCUACCCCGUAAUCCACUUCACCGAUGCUACCCACCUGCGCCCCCGCGGAGGGGUCUCAGUUGCCAGGCUCCCCCAUCUUUUGAAUCGGGGGGCUGCAUCCCCAAUCGAUUUAAUCGGCCGGCCUGAGUACAGGCCUUUGGAUUGCGAGAUUGCAGCCCUCUUUGAGCCUCCACAACUCCAAAUUAAAGCAAUGUCUAGAAAAGAUUCGAUCAUGCUCCAGAGUCGAUAUGCAGCUGCUCGGUUACACGAUAUUGUCAAGGGUCUCCAAACGAGAAGGAAAGAGCUCAUCCGUGAGAAAAAAUGGGGUAAUCUGCUUAAUAUUAGCAACUUCUCAGCUCCAGAGGGUCUCCUAGAAUGGAUCAUUGACAGGAUUGACCCGAAGCUAGGUGAAUUUCGGAAUCCACGAAACAAUACCAGCAUUCUAUUCACUGCAAAAAUGGUUGAAAAGGUUCUCGGACUUCCUGCUGGUACUAGGCCUGUGGUUAUCAUAAGCAAGCAUGAAGAAUCACCUCACCGAGAAUUCUACAAGACGGACUUUCCACAUGGGAGACGGGCGCCCAUUUAAUAUGCUGCAAAUAUGCUAGAAAAAGACAAUGGUCUAGAUGAUGAGACCUUCUUUAGGACCUUCUUCCUAGUAGCAUUGGCUACUCAUAUUGCACCUGGAACUGAAAAUAUGGUGCCUUUGGAGUAUUUAGGCAGCCUUGAAGUUGCUUCCGAGGUUUGCGAGUAUGCAUGGGGAGAACAAAUUCUCAAAGAUGUCAUGUGCGAGAUCGACACUUUCCAAAAGAAGAAGAAGAAAGCACUAUUAGAUGGUGUCUUCAAAAAAAUAUGGGUUGGCGGCUGCUUACCCUUGCUCGCGGUAGCCACAAUACAUUACACUUUUUUUCUAUG